CGGACGGGUGAGUAACACGUAGGUGACCUGCCCCGAAGUGUGGAAUAACAGUCCGAAAGGAUUGCUAAUACCGCAUGUGGUCUGUGAGGUUAGAGUCUUGCAGACUAAAGCAGUAAUGUGCUUCGGGAGGGGCCUGCGCCCCAUCAGCUAGUUGGUAGGGUAAUGGCCUACCAAGGCAACAACGGGUAGGGGGCCUGAGAGGGUGACCCCCCACAUUGGCACUGACACACGGGCCAAACUCCUACGGGAGGCAGCAGUGAGGAAUAUUGCUCAAUGGGCGAAAGCCUGAAGCAGCAACGCCGCGUGCGCGAUGAAGGCCUUCGGGUCGUAAAGCGCUUUUGAGAGGGACGAGAUAGGACGGUACCUCUUGAAUAAGUCACGGCUAACUACGUGCCAGCAGCCGCGGUAAAACGUAGGUGGCAAGCGUUAUCCGGAUUCACUGGGCGUAAAGCGCGUGCAGGUGGCUUCGUAAGUUGGACGUUAAAUCUCCCGGCCUAACCGGGAGGAGUCGUUCAAUACUGCGGGGCUGGAGGGCAGAAGAGGGGGGUGGAAUUGCUGGUGUAGUGGUGAAAUGCGUAGAUAUCAGCAGGAACACCCGUGGCGAAAGCGGCCCCCUGGUCUGCUCCUGACACUCAGACGCGAAAGCUAGGGGAGUGAACGGGAUUAGAAACCCCGGUAAUCCUAGCCGUAAACGAUGGAUGCUAGGUGUGGGUGGUAUUGACCCCAUCCGUGCCGAAGCCAACGCGUUAAGCAUCCCGCCUGGGGACUACGGCCGCAAGGUUAAAACUCAAAGGAAUUGACGGGGAC
rnacentral:rRNA from 1 species